UGGGGAAUUUUCCGCAAUGGGUGAGAGCCUGACGGAGCAACGCCGCGUGAGGGAGGACGGCCUGUGGGUUGUAAACCUCUUUUCUCAGGGAAGAAGAUCUGACGGUACCUGAGGAAUCAGCAUCGGCUAACUCCGUGCCAGCAGCCGCGGUAAGACGGAGGAUGCAAGCGUUAUCCGGAAUUAUUGGGCGUAAAGCGUCCGUAGGCGGUUCAUCAAGUCAGUUGUUAAAGACUGCAGCUCAACUGUGGGCAAGCAACUGAAACUGAUGAACUAGAGUGCGGUAGGGGUAGAGGGAAUUCCCAGUGUAGCGGUGAAAUGCGUAGAUAUUGGGAAGAACACCAGUGGCGAAGGCGCUCUACUGGGCCGCAACUGACGCUGAGGGACGAAAGCUAGGGGAGCGAAAGGGAUUAGAUACCCGGGUAGUCC
rnacentral:rRNA from 1 species